rnacentral:rRNA from 1 species
UCCGGCAGCUAGCUCUCUGCAACUCUCACAUGGUCGCCCACUGAAGCUAAGCAGGGCUGCGCCUGGUCAGUACCUGGAUGGGAGACCACAUGGGAAAGCUAGGUUGCUGCCGAAA